UCUGGUAGUUACAGCGGAGAGGUCACACCUGUUCCCAUCUCGAACACAGUAGUUAAGCUCUCCAGCGCCGAUGGUAGUCGAGGCUUUGCCUCCGCAAGAGUAGGACACCGCCAGGA
rnacentral:rRNA from 1 species